rnacentral:rRNA from 1 species
UACGGGGGGGGUAAGCGUUGUUCGGAAUGACUGGGCGUAAAGGGCUCGUAGGCGGCCGACUAAGUCAUACGUGAAAUCCCUCAGCUUAACUGGGGAACUGCGUGUGAUACUGGAUGGCUUGGAUUUGGGAGAGGGAUGCGGAAUUCCAGGUGUAGCGGUGAAAUGCGUAGAUAUCUGGAGGAACACCGGUGGCGAAGGCGGCAUCCUGGACCAAUAUUGACGCUGAGGAGCGAAAGCCAGGGGAGCAAACGGG